GCGUCCUUCGUCCAGUGGUAGGAUACCGGUCUCCAAAACCGACGACGGGAGUUCGAAUCUCUCAGGGCGUG
rnacentral:tRNA from 1 species